UACGGAGGGAGCUAGCGUUGUUCGGAAUUACUGGGCGUAAAGCGCGCGUAGGCGGCUUUGCAAGUUAGCGGUGAAAGCCCGGAGCUCAACUUCGGAAUUGCCUUUAAAACUGCAUCGCUUGAAUCCGGGAGAGGUGAGUGGAAUUCCGAGUGUAGAGGUGAAAUUCGUAGAUAUUCGGAAGAACACCAGUGGCGAAGGCGGCUCACUGGCCCGGUACUGACGCUGAGGCACGAAAGCGUGGGGAGCAAACAGG
rnacentral:rRNA from 1 species